GGAGGAAGAGAGGGAGGAGAGGAGAAGAUGAGAGAGAACCCGCUUCUCCAUCCGCGAGGGCCGUGCCGCCAGAAGUGGACCAAGCCCGAGCCGGAGAGCGGGGCCCAGCCCUCGGUGCCGCGGCUGCGAUCCGGCUGUACAGCAUCGACAGAGUGAGUGACCAGAGACCUCCAAGCAGAAGUGGCUGGGAAGUCACACGGCGCCUUGUCCAUCUCCGUCUGUGCCAUGCAGACCAGCCAUGAAGCAUUGUGGGAAGGGACCUGAGAAGGUGUGCGUCCAAGAGGCAGGACUCAUCAGAGGCCAUCUGGAAGGCCCGCCCAGGUCUGGGAGCCUGUGCACCCCGACCAGCUAACUCCCUGUGCCUGGAUUCUGGCUAACAUGGAGCUGAAAUAA